GGGUCAGUAGGUUGGUCGUGCCACCGGUACGUACUGGUCUCACUGAUUCCUCCUUCCUGAAGAACCUUAAUGCCAUUAAUUUGGUGUUGCGGGGAAACAGGACUGUUACCUUGAAAAAAUUAGAGUGUUUAAGGCAAGCUAACGCUUGAAUACAUUAGCAUGGAAUAAUGAAAUAGGACGAUCGAUCCUAUUUUGUUGGUUUCUAGGAUUGACGUA
rnacentral:rRNA from 1 species